rnacentral:lncRNA from 1 species
AAGCCGCAAAUAUGAUUUGCAGCCCGCAAGCACGAAGAUUAGGCAAAUCCGUGUACUACCCAUCAUUCUCAUGGUGGCCGAACGAUCGCAGCGCCAGAGUUCACUCUAGGUAAUAUUGGGAAACUCUAU